rnacentral:rRNA from 1 species
AGAGGGGGACCGGGGGGGGUCUCUAGAGAUUAGGAGUUUGAUCCUGGCUCAGAUUGAACGCUGGCGGCAGGCCUAACACAUGCAAGUCGAGCGGCAGCACGGGAAGCUUGCUUCCUGGUGGCGAGCGGCGGACGGGUGAGUAAUGCAUAGAAAUCUGCCCGGUAGUGGGGGAUAACCUGGGGAAACCCAGGCUAAUACCGCAUACGUCCUACGGGAGAAAGCAGGGGAUCUUCGGACCUUGCGCUAUCGGAUGAGUCUAUGUCGGAUUAGCUUGUUGGUGAGGUAAUGGCUCACCAAGGCGACGAUCCGUAGCUGGUCUGAGAGGAUGAUCAGCCACAUCGGGACUGAGACACGGCCCGAACUCCUACGGGAGGCAGCAGUGGGGAAUAUUGGACAAUGGGCGAAAGCCUGAUCCAGCCAUGCCGCGUGUGUGAAGAAGGCCUUCGGGUUGUAAAGCACUUUCAGUGGGGAAGAAAGCCUUGGGGCUAAUACCCUCGAGGAAGGACAUCACCCACAGAAGAAGCACCGGCUAACUCCGUGCCAGCAGCCGCGGUAAUACGGAGGGUGCGAGCGUUAAUCGGAAUUACUGGGCGUAAAGCGCGCGUAGGCGGUCUGAUAAGCCGGUUGUGAAAGCCCCGGGCUCAACCUGGGAACGGCAUCCGGAACUGUCAGGCUAGAGUGCAGGAGAGGAAGGUAGAAUUCCCGGUGUAGCGGUGAAAUGCGUAGAGAUCGGGAGGAAUACCAGUGGCGAAGGCGGCCUUCUGGACUGACACUGACGCUGAGGUGCGAAAGCGUGGGUAGCAAACAGGAUUAGAUACCCUGGUAGUCCACGCCGUAAACGAUGUCGACUAGCCGUUGGGCUCCUUGAGAGCUUUGUGGCGCAGUUAACGCGAUAAGUCGACCGCCUGGGGAGUACGGCCGCAAGGUUAAAACUCAAAUGAAUUGACGGGGGCCCGCACAAGCGGUGGAGCAUGUGGUUUAAUUCGAUGCAACGCGAAGAACCUUACCUACCCUUGACAUCGUGCGAACUUGGUAGAGAUACCUUUGGUGCCUUCGGGAGCGCACAGACAGGUGCUGCAUGCUGUCGUCAGCUCGUGUUGUGAAAUGUGGGUAAGUCCCGUAACGAGCGCAACCCUGUUCUUAUUUGCCAGCGCGUAAUGGCGGACUCUAGGAGACUGCGUGACAACGAGAAGGUGGGACGACGUUCAGUCUAUCAUGGCUAACGUUAAGCUUACCACGUGUCUACAAUGGCCGGUAUCAAGGGGUUGCAAGA